GGAGAGAAAGGAUGAAAAAAGGUGGGAAUCUCCAAGUGACGAGUGAAAAGCGCCGUCCAAAGCACUCACGGUGGGCCCCAGCGCCCCUGCCCCUUUGGGUGACCGUGGAAGUGCAACGCGCAGCCCGGAUCAGAAGCCAGUCGGGGUGAGACUCGAUCCUCCCAGGUAUCUUUCGCGAUUUGUCUGUGUCUUGCAGAGCAGCUGUUUGGCGCGUCCGCACUCGAAAAAUUCGCGGUUGACUGCGUGUGUG